rnacentral:pre_miRNA from 1 species
AGGCAAGAUGCUGGCAUAGCUGUUGAACUGAAAACCUGCUAUGCCAACAUAUUGCCAUCU